UUUCUUCUCUCUCGCUCAACACUCUCCCAGUAACCAUGGCAACGGCCACCUCGCCAAAUUCUCUUCUUCUCCAAAACCCUAAUCGUUCAACAACCAUACAUUUCCGCAAAAACCCUAAUCCGGCACGCGUUAAUGUCUUCAAUCUCAGCCCUAGUCGUCGUAAUAAGUCUAUCUCCAUCACCUGCUCCACAGCCCAAGUCGAACGCCCACCCUCCAACGCCCAAUCCUUGGAUCGGGUCUUCAAUUUUGCGGCCGGCCCGGC
rnacentral:lncRNA from 1 species